rnacentral:rRNA from 1 species
UACGUAGGUGGCAAGCGUUGUCCGGAUUUAUUGGGUUUAAAGGGUGCGUAGGCGGUCCAUUAAGUCAGUGGUGAAAUACGGCAGCUUAACUGUCGAGGUGCUAUUGAUACUGGAGGACUUGAGUACAGACGAGGUAGGCGGAAUUGACGGUGUAGCGGUGAAAUGCUUAGAUAUCGUCAAGAACACCGAUAGCGAAGGCAGCUUACUAGACUGUAACUGACGCUGAGGCACGAAAGUGUGGGGAUCAAACAGG